GCGCAGGAAAAGAAACCAACAGGGAUUACCUCAGUAACGGCGAGUGAAGCGGUAACAGCUCAAAUUUGAAAUCUGGCCUCACGGUCCGAAUUGUAAUUUGUAGAGGAUGUUUCGAGCAUGGUCUGGCCUAAGUUCCUUGGAACAGGACGUCAUAGAGGGUGAGAAUCCCGUAUGCGGUCAGGUGCCUACGCUCAUGUGAAACUCCUUCGACGAGUCGAGUUGUUUGGGAAUGCAGCUCAAAAUGGGUGGUAAAUUUCAUCUAAAGCUAAAUAUUGGCCAGAGACCGAUAGCGCACAAGUAGAGUGAUCGAAAGAUGAAAAGCACUUUGGAAAGAGAGUUAAACAGUACGCGAAAUUGUUGAAAGGGAAGCGCUUGCAACCAGACUUGCACGCAGCUAAUCAUCCGGUGUUCUCACCGGUGCACUUGGUUGCGUUCAGGCCAGCAUCGGUUUCGGCGGUGGGAUAAAGGCCUUAGGAAUGUAGCUGCUCUCGGGCAGUGUUAUAGCCUAGGGUGCAAUGCCGCCUGCUGGGGCCGAGGACCGCGCUUCGGCUAGGAUGCUGGCGUAAUGGUUAUAAGCGGCCCGUCUUGAAACACGGACCAAGGAGUCUAACAUCUAUGCGAGUGUUUGGGUGUCAAACCCAUACGCGUAAUGAAAGUGAACGGAGGUGAGAACCCUUACGGUGCAUCAUCGACCGAUCCUGAUGUUCUCGGAUGGAUUUGA
rnacentral:rRNA from 1 species